CCUACGGGUGGCUGCAGUGGGGAAUAUUGGACAAUGGGCGAAAGCCUGAUCCAGCCAUGCCGCGUGUGUGAAGAAGGCCUUCGGGUUGUAAAGCACUUUCAGUGGGGAAGAAAGCCUUGGGGCUAAUACCCUCGAGGAAGGACAUCACCCACAGAAGAAGCACCGGCUAACUCCGUUCCAGCAGCCGCGGUAAUACGGAGGGUGCGAGCGUUAAUCGGAAUUACUGGGCGUAAAGCGCGCGUAGGCGGUCUGAUAAGCCGGUUGUGAAAGCCCCGGGCUCAACCUGGGAACGGCAUCCGGAACUGUCAGGCUAGAGUGCAGGAGAGGAAGGUAGAAUUCCCGGUGUAGCAGUGAAAUGCGUAGAGAUCGGGAGGAAUACCAGUGGCGAAGGCGGCCUUCUGGACUGACACUGACGCUGAGGUGCGAAAGCGUGGGUAGCAAACAGGAUUAGAUACCCCGGUAGUC
rnacentral:rRNA from 1 species